ensembl:lncRNA
CCUCAGCAGCCACCAGAUGGCAGAAGCGGCCCCAACCGUCAUCACGUGUUCGUUUAUUAUUAUUUCGUUUAUUAUUAUAUUAUUUAUUUAUGCAAGUCAGGAUGUAGUCUAUGAAUGUGAAAGAAAAGUAGGUAAAAUGCAUCUCAAUACAACAUAUCAAAUCUAUUAUAUUCACACACAAUAAUGAUUCCUGUUCCUUCACUUUGUUUUUCCAGUUGGACACACGCACGCGCGCGCGCACACACACAGUGUCAAAGCUCUAGGUGUUCAAGGAGUAUGUCCUUGUUCUUUAGCAGUGGGCCCUAGACUUUAAGGCAUAAACUGUUUUGAUCCGUGGUCACUUACCUCCAUCAAGUAGACGAGACAAACCACUGCACCCACCUCAUGAAGUAACAACCAUUAGUCUGACACUCAAACCAUCAAAGAGCAGCCAUUUUGAAAAGAGCAGCCAUUUUGACCUCAAAUCAAAUGGAAAUGCAAUCAAUGGAACCCAAAGACUAUUGUUAGCAGAAGUAAAGUGCUUCUGUGUUUCAUCGUGGACAUGCCGUUUGUUUUUUAUUCUGUAGGCAUGUCCAAACUAUUCCACAAAAGGGCAGAGUGGCCCCCUUUUGUCUCCAUCUUAAACAUUUACUUGUUUAUUCAUUCACUCCUUCAUUUAUUAAUUUGUUUGUUUGUUUUUUCUUGUAGCUGCUUAUGUGGCAAUACAUUUGUUCAUCCUCAUGUCUGGUGAUUGCAAUCGUCCCAUAUAUCAUUACGGAAUGUUUCACAUGCAGUGCACGUUUUUUGCAUGCCCUUUUCCUGCAGUAGCUCAACGUCAUGCAUCAUAAUAUAUUAAUUUACUGAUGAUUGGUCUACAUAAUAACAGAUUUGAGGGAAAAUUAAGCAUUUUCAGAUAAUGUAGGAAAUUACAUCACAAUAAGCAAAUAUACCAAUAUAUUGGUAUAUUUGCAGGCACUGGCGAAACCAUUUCUAUUGCAGAGGCGUCUGUUUUCCUAAAAUCAAUUGUUAAUAGUCAUUUGACCAACACAUUCAAACAAUCUUUACCGCCCCAAGCCAGCAUUUCCUGAGAGAAACAACAGAGGUGGGGAGGGGCAUGGUCACGGUGGGGACCGUAAAAGUCAGGAUCUGUCAGUUAUUACUGAGACUGGGUGGAAAGAUGACAUACUCUGUAGAGAUUAAAUGACUCAAUUUAAAUGAGAAAAAUGGUGAAUAUAAAUAGAAAAAUAAACAAACAGAAUCACGUUCUUAGUAUUACCAAUGUCUUAUUUUAGAGAAAACAGCAGAGGUGGGGUAACAGCAGAUUCACGGUGGGGACUGUAAGAGUCAGGAUAUGUGUAAUGUCAGUUGAGACCCCGUUUGUGACUGAGACCCCGUUUGUCCCCGAUACACUUUUGUUUUUCCGGGGGUGGUCACGGUAGUUACGAGAGAAGACAAAAAGUUCAGAGAGAAAUACACAUUAACUGUUUGUUAUCUCAUAAGCGGCGUGGUGCCGGCUCCUUUUGACCUUUUGACCCCAGACUUCUAGAACGUAUGAAAAUAUC